rnacentral:rRNA from 1 species
UACGGAGGGGGCUAGCGUUGUUCGGAAUUACUGGGCGUAAAGCGCACGUAGGCGGCUUUGUAAGUUAGAGGUGAAAGCCCGGAGCUCAACUCCGGAAUUGCCUUUAAGACUGCAUCGCUCGAAUCAUGGAGAGGUGAGUGGAAUUCCGAGUGUAGAGGUGAAAUUCGUAGAUAUUCGGAAGAACACCAGCGGCGAAGGCGACUCACUGGACAUGUAUUGACGCUGAGGUACGAAAGCGUGGGGAGCAAACAGG